rnacentral:rRNA from 1 species
AGUGAACGCUGGCGGUAGGCCUAACACAUGCAAGUCGAACGGCAGCACAGUAAGAGCUUGCUCUUACGGGUGGCGAGUGGCGGACGGGUGAGGAAUACAUCGGAAUCUACUUUUUCGUGGGGGAUAACGUAGGGAAACUUACGCUAAUACCGCAUACGACCUACGGGUGAAAGCAGGGGAUCUUCGGACCUUGCGCGAUUGAAUGAGCCGAUGUCGGAUUAGCUAGUUGGCGGGGUAAAGGCCCACCAAGGCGACGAUCCGUAGCUGGUCUGAGAGGAUGAUCAGCCACACUGGAACUGAGACACGGUCCAGACUCCUACGGGAGGCAGCAGUGGGGAAUAUUGGACAAUGGGCGCAAGCCUGAUCCAGCCAUACCGCGUGGGUGAAGAAGGCCUUCAGGUUGUAAAGCCCUUUUGUUGGGAAAGAAAAGCAGCAGGUUAAUACCCCGCUGUUCUGACGGUACCCAAAGAAUAAGCACCGGCUAACUUCGU